rfam:Picea glauca, whole genome shotgun sequence.
GGUGCUGUGGUGUAGUCGGUUAUCACGUCAGUCUUACACACUGAAGGUCCCCAGUUCGAACCUGGGCAGCACCA